rnacentral:lncRNA from 1 species
CUCCAGGCCAGUACCUAAGGAGAAAAGGCCACUGGCUAAAGUCUGGGCAUGCCUUGCUGCAAGCCAGUGAGAGGGAAGCACCCCCCACCCCUGUGCCUCCUUCAUACCAAACUGAACAAACAAUACAUCCCCAGUCACCACCGCCUAUCUGAAAACACACCAAGAGGGGUUACCAAGACAGAAAAUGAGCAAUCCUUUCAAGAUCUGUCCAUUAACAGCAGUAAAGGAGAUUUCAUAAGGUUAAUUGGAAAAAUCCACCCUACUCUCCUCCCUUCCCCGGCAACCAGUUUAACACUUGCACUUAUACCCAAAUGCACAAUCGUCACUCCUAACAGAGACAAAAACAGGACACACUCAAUUCUAGCAGUCGCUGCAAGGAACAGCACUUAGGCUGGCGGCUGAUAGCUGGGGCUUGGCUUCCUGGCUUCUAAACAAGACAGACCCUCCUCAAUCCAUGAACACGGUAAUGUCAGGGGGCGUUCUGGGCUUGAAUCUCUCCAUCCCACAUCACUGGAUCUCCCUGGAGGAGCAUACGAUCUUUUGUGGUUUGGGGCAGAGCCGAGUAACCCAAGGGCGUCUCUAAGAGCGCCUUCCUAGAGCUCGUUGCACCUGCUGUCAGGACAAAGAACCGAGAUUCAAAGAUUUCUGAGCAGGAAAUGUCGAAGAAUGAGGUAUCUUGAUGAAGGCAACCAAGAGAAUGAAAGCGAAGCGCAGCCUGCGCUCACAGGGCCUCCGGGCCCACACUCCUCCAACCCAGCCCCAAGCCCUUCAAAGAAGUUCAAACUCUGGUGCCCUGACCGCUGCUGAGGAGCCCUCAUCCAGUGGCUGAUGGAAGCAGAGGCAGACACCCACAGCUAAACACUGAACUGAACUCUGGAACCCAGUUGCAGAGAAGGAGGAGUGAAGAGCAAAGAGGUGAAAAUGAAACAGGAUGUUGGGGCACUGACUGCUGUGUGCCACCCUAUAGAGAAACCAUGACGACUAUAUGAUAUCUUAGAGAAGAUAAGUGCUGUGCACCAUCCUACAGAAGAUUACACCCAGAGUUUUGAUCACUACCAUAUAUCAGCUCCCAGGGUGUUGGGGUGUGAUCCAUGGUGUAUAAAAGACCAUGGCUACUUUUUACCUGAAAGUGACUGAAUAAGAAGACAAUAAAGAGACACUGCAUGCCGUGACCUUAAGUCUGGAUAGUGGAGUGAGUCUAAAUAAACUAUUGCAUCACAUACUACUAAACUCUCGUCAACUUCUAUCACCUUGCUUGGGUGACUUGCCAAUUAAGUGAGCUCUUGUGACUGUGGGGCCCACUGCUUUGAGUCACAGCAGGUGUCAGGUAUUGAGCGCUACUGUCACGGAGGCUGCUGUCACCGAGGCCAAGGGUGAGGCCCUCAAAGUUGCACAGACUUUCAACAGCUCCAAUAGGAAAGCUCAAGACUAUUCAUGCUGGCCCCUUGUUGACUCAUCUAAAGGAAAUGGUGCCUUGAGGACCACCCUUUCCCAGAGGAUGAAACCGGAGGGAUGAAAACCGAGGGCUUGAAGGUUCUGAGUGGCAAACCAGAGCACUUGCAAUUAAGGACUGCCAUGCCCACUCAACCUGGUGGGAAAUCUGGUCUCGUCCACUUCAAUACAGGUUGAGGGGUUUCUAAGAAAGGGAAAGUUGAUGGAGUUAUACAGUCUUUCGGGUUUUCCUCUCCAUGAACUGAACUAGAAGUAGAUUCAUGCAACAUUUCUUCUUG